UACGGGGGGGGCAAGCGUUGUUCGGAAUUACUGGGCGUAAAGGGCUCGUAGGUGGCCAACUAAGUCAGACGUGAAAUCCCUCGGCUUAACCGGGGAACUGCGUCUGAUACUGGAUGGCUUGAGUUUGGGAGAGGGAUGCGGAAUUCCAGGUGUAGCGGUGAAAUGCGCAGAUAUCAGGAGGAACACCGGUGGCGAAGGCGGAUCUCUGGGCCUUACCUGACGCUCAGGUGCGAAAGCUAGGGGAGCGAACAGG
rnacentral:rRNA from 1 species